AGCGUUGUCCGGAUUUAUUGGGCGUAAAGAGCGUGUAGGCGGUUAGGUAGGUCCGUUGUGAAAACUCGAGGCUCAACCUCGAGACGCCGAUGGAAACCCCCUAACUAGAGUCCGGAAGAGGAGAGUGGAAUUCCUGGUGUAGCGGUGAAAUGCGCAGAUAUCAGGAAGAACACCCGUGGCUAAGGCGGCUCUCUAGUACGGUACUGACGCUGAGACGCGAAAGCGUGGGGAGCGAACAGG
rnacentral:rRNA from 1 species